rnacentral:misc_RNA from 1 species
GUCGGUGGCAAAGUCGCUGUCGAUACAGGCGCACCCGGACAAGGAGCUGGCGAAGGCGCUGAACAAGACGAAUCCCGGUGUCUACAGGAAUUCGAACCAUAAGCCGGAGAUGGCGGUUGCUCUCACCGAAUUUGAGGCGCUCUGUGGGUUUGUGAGUGCUAAGGAGUUUAAGGUUGUGAUUGCUACUGUGCCGGAGAUCGCGGAGCUGGUUGGGGAAGGUAGCUGGAAUGAUUUCGGAUGCGAAGGAGGAAGAUGGGUCUCAGGAAGCGAGAGUCCUUUUGCAAUCGGU